rnacentral:rRNA from 1 species
UACGUAGGGGGCGAGCGUUACCCGGAUUUACUGGGCGUAAAGCGCGUGUAGGCGGCUGGUCAAGCGUGGUGUGAAAUCUCCGGGCUCAACCCGGAAACUGCAUUGCGAACUGACCUAGCUGGAGUGCAGGAGAGGGCAGCGGAAUUCCCGGUGUAGCGGUGAAAUGCGUAGAUAUCGGGAAGAACACCAGUGGCGAAGGCGGCUGCCUGGCCUGUAACUGACGCGUGAGACGCGAAA